UCUCGGCUUGCGGGAAACUUGUCGGGCAGACAGGGGCACCCAGCCUUGUCCCCCAGAGGCCUGGUACCCAGCAGCCAGAGGCGCAUCUCAGAGAGCCCUAGUCUGGGUUGGGCUGGACCCCUGAGAGGGCUGGAGCCGAAGAGGAUGUGAGGGGUGGUCCAUGCUGGCCCAGGGAACACCUUCAGGAAGGAAUCAGCGCAGCCUUCAAAGGAACAUUUUGAAGGAAACUGAAAUAUUUGCACUAUCGACUUCUUGGAAUUCUUUACAGAUUAAGUCUCUGAAAGCCUUUUCCAACAUUAUCAGAAAAUUAAGAGUCACUUUUGCAUUCGCUGUUCAAUGCAGUUUCUCUCUGACUUGGAGGAACUUUUUAUCAGACCCAGAUUGAUAGGCAUUGGACAGAAACACUCCAAGCUGUAGACCACAGACAGAGCCCAGCUGAGCAGCGACAGGACCAAAAUCCAAAGCAUCGCAUCUGAUUUUCAAGCAGAGUUGAAGUUGGUUGCUUCACCUGGCAGGCGAGAGGAAAGAAGCCAACAUUCCUGAUAUUUGGAAAGUCUAUGACAUUCUAGAUCCAGGGGAAGAGACUGAUGAGGAAGAUGGUGGAAACUGCUGGAGAGACAGCCCUGAGUAAAAGGAGAGGACGAGAUGGAAUACGCAAGGAGAAGGACUGUCUCAGAGAGGAGCGGCGGGUCACCCAUGGAGGCGAGCAGGAAGACAGGCACGUGGGGCCAGGGCUCACCUCAACGUCCAGGUGCUCUCAGAACAUCUCCACUCCAACGUCAACAGUCACAGAUCAAAAUAACAUCAACAGUCAAACUCACCUCUAUUGUUUUUCUAGUCCCUGCCCCCCAGUGCACGCAACACAUCUGGUCGUUUAUGAAGGUGCCUUGUUAUUAUCUACAGCAGAGCCAUCAUUGGCCAGCAGUCUUCAGACUGGGAGGGCGUGUUUCCCUGGGUAUAUGAGAUUUUUAGGUAGGAGGUAGGGAGGAAUGAUUAUAAUGGAAUCAUUUUCAGAUCCUUACUUUGCAGAGAUUCUCCUUCCUUUAGCUUGCAACACCAUCCCCUCCACAAUCCCCUCUUCACAUUUGUCAUCUCCCACUUUACCAAAGAUACUCAUACAUACCCAUUCUAACUGGACUGGGGUCAAGGUAAGACCAAAAAUCCUCUGAGCACUGAACAAAGGGACAACAGAACAAUCAUAGUCUUUUGACAACAAGCCCAAAAAGCUUAGGAAAGACAUACCGAGUACAUCAGCACCUUAUGCCAUGUAGGUGGGUGACAACCUCAGGGCAGUUCCAAUGCCUCUGCGUCUACCUACCAACUCCCCCCAGCAUGGAACUCAGAAUGGACAUGGUUGCCAUGGGGACAAUCUUAGCUAAGUAAAAAAAUCAAGUCAGCCUUUUUCUGGCAAAAAUUAAGUCUACUUUAGCAAAUCAGGUUGACCUUGAGAACUGGCUUAUUCUGUUAGAUCGUGUGAUAAUCACUUUACAUGAAUGUGAUGAGAAAAAUCUUCCACUCUAAGGUUUGAACAAAUCUACUUUUAGAACAAAUAGACCUCCAUACACAUUAUAAGGGAA